rnacentral:rRNA from 1 species
UACGGAGGGUGCAAGCGUUGUCCGGAAUUAUUGGGCGUAAAGAGCUCGUAGGCGGUUCGUCGCGUCGGCUGUGAAAACCCGGAGCUCAACUCCGGGCCUGCAGUCGAUACGGGCGGACUUGAGUGUUGCAGGGGAGACUGGAAUUCCUGGUGUAGCGGUGAAAUGCGCAGAUAUCAGGAGGAACACCGGUGGCGAAGGCGGGUCUCUGGGCAACUACUGACGCUGAGGAGCGAAAGCGUGGGGAGCGAACAGG